rnacentral:rRNA from 1 species
AGCUCGUGUGCGUGAGAUGUGUGGGUGUAAGUGCCCGCAACGAGACCGCAACCCCUAUGCUUCAGUUGCCAUCAUUUGGUUGGGCACUCUGAAGAAACUGCCGGUGACAAGCCGGAGGAAGGCGGGGAUGACGUCAAGUCCUCAUGGCCCUUACGGGUUGGGCUACACACGUGCUACAAUGGUGGUGACAAUGGGGAGCGAGGCCGCGAGGCCAAGCCAAUCUCAAAAAGCCAUCUCAGUUCGGAUUGCACUCUGCAACUCGAGUGCAUGAAGUUGGAAUCGUCUAGUAAUCGCGCAUCAGCAUGGCGCGGUGACAUACGUUCCCGGGC